CCUAGUCACUGCCAUAUGAAGGAUACUUUCUCAAGAUUUCUUAAAAAUAACAACUCCAAAAUGUUACUAUUUUCAAAGGUUCUUAUACAAACUUAAAGACAGAAAUGCAUGGACAACAUGUCAAAUCAGAUGUUUGCACACAUGCAUGCAUCUCAACCUCCUUCCCACAUUAUCUUCUUCAACAUCAACACAUUUUUUUCUCUCCAUGUGGUACCAUUAUUGCUCUGAUGAUACAGUAAAUCAGGUCAAUAAAGGAACAGGCAGGGUUGGACCACAUUUAUGAAGUAUCAGCAUGGGAGCGCCAUCCAGGAACUGCCAAAAUUUUCUUCAGAAGUAUUUUGCUAUCCCAGGAAAAUGAAACUCUGCGUACGUACUUGUGUGAGCCAGAAGAACAGGCACAAUACCCUUCAGGCUCUUUUUGUUUUUGCUUCAGAAACUAUUUCAUAUCCAGCUGUCUAUAAGAAAUAUUUCCAAGUCUUUCUUUGCAGAACAUCACAUUUUAUAAACUUCCCAGUCUUCACUUACAGAUCUCCAAAUACAUAAAUACAGAUAUUUUGGGGGAGGAAUAUUCACUGCACAUAGAAAGAUAUGGUAGCAGUUUUAAAGGAACCAUAAGAUAGUGGCAUGCAAAUUCAAUAAAUAAACAGA